UAGGGAAUAUUGCACAAUGGGCGAAAGCCUGAUGCAGCAACGCCGCGUGCACGAUGAAGGCCUUCGGGUCGUAAAGUGCUUUUCUGGAGGACGAGGAAGGACGGUACUUCAGGAAGAAGGCUCGGCUAACUACGUGCCAGCAGCCGCGGUAAAACGUAGGAGCCAAGCGUUAUCCGAAUUCACUGGGCGUAAAGCGCGUGUAGGCGGUCCGAUAAGUUGGAUUUGAAAUCUCCUGGCUUAACUGGGAGAGGAGGUACAAUACUGUUGGACUAGAGGGCAGUAGAGGGAGGUGGAAUUCCCGGUGUAGUGGUGAAAUGCGUAGAUAUCGGGAGGAACACCAGUGGCGAAAGCGGCCUCCUGGACUGUCUCUGACGCUCAGACGCGAAAGCUAGGGGAGCGA
rnacentral:rRNA from 1 species